GGCCCGUGACCGGCACUAGGGAAUGGGUAGGCUUAAGGCCACCGAAACCCGUAGUAAGCCUGACACUCACUGAUUUAAACAAAUCUCAUCUCAAAUUAAUAUUAUUAAAACCACAAAUUAUCUUAAUAGUUACACUUUACAAAAUUUAAUCGGUCUGCCAGAAGAACUAGGCGAGACCCGAAGCUCAGAAAAUUUACAACUGAUACAUCUACUAAUUACUACUGCGGAGAAUCUAAGAUUUACCAAUUUACAUACCAAAUCAAAUACAUCACCCGAUGAUGAAGGAGUCGGAUUACUGAAUAAGAGUCGCGGGAGAACUAACAGUCACGAAUCUGAAAAAAAAAAUAUAAAUGGAGACUGUCAGUCUCGAGAGUGAGUUAAAAUCAAAUAAUCUGGGGACUAUUGCAUUCUUCUCAGAAAACAUAGAUUAUUCAAAUCAGUAUAUCAAACCAUGCUCGUAAAUACAAAUCAUACUAUAAUCAUACCCUAUUACUUUCUUCACAGAAAAUAUUAAUCAUUCGAAUUAAUAUAUCAACCAUGCACGUAAAUACAAUCCAUAUUAUAAUUCAAAUACCAUAAUAAAUAAAUAAAUAAAAAUAUAUAUUUACUUUUACGGGACGAGUGGCUCGGUAGAACCCUAAACCCCAAAAUCUAGUAGCCAUUUGGCUCUCUUAGUCCAAUAAUACUGGCGCCCCGAGAGCAAUGCUCGACCAGGGACCUUACCUCCAGUCUGGUCACUUAAGUAUCCAAAUAAGAAAUCUAGUAGCCAUUCGGCUCUCUUAAUCCAAUAAGACUGGCGCCCCGAGAGCAAUGCUCGACCAGGGACCUUACCUCCAGUCUGGUCACUUAAGUAUCCAAAUAAACCGGGCCCCGAGAGCAAUGCUCGACCAGGGACCUUACCUCCGGCAAUCAACUGAACUCAGCCCAGAGAGCAAUGCUCGAUCAGGGCAAACAAAUCCAUAAUAACCUUAUGUCCAUAAUCAUUACCGGUGCGCACGCGGUCCUGAUGUAACCCAUCAGGCGGCAUGUUCUACAAGCCACGUUUCCCAAGACACAAUCAUCCAUUUAAUAAAUAUCAUUGUAUAAUGAAGUCAUUCAACCAUAUCAAAUUAAUGAUUAACAAUUAAGAGUAAAACAUCAGGCAGCUCAGGUGGAAAACUGAUGAUAUUUGGAAUUAUUAUAACAUUACUAUAAUAAUACUCAUAUUAUCUUCAAUAAUUAAUAAUCCAGUAAAAUUAAUUACGUUGAGAUAUUAGUAACCAUGUUAAACAUAAACUUCCAAAAUAGCAUAUUAAAAUCAGACUUAGCAAUAGUGCAAUAAUUAAAUGACUUUAACUCACAGGAUUGGGCGACCUCCUAGCUCUGCUCCGGUGCCUCGGUUGGAGCGAGCCGAACAGACAGAUCAUCUAAUCACGGAAAACAAUUUAUCAAUACGCUGAGACAAUCCAUCAUUAAUCCUAGGUCUAGACUCCUAGGACUGACUGUCUAAGAAUCUCGACUCGGGAGAAUUCUACCGAAAAUCCGGCAGAACCUCCCCUACAACACGAACAUUACCCCCCGUAAAAACAGGUCCAGGACCUGCCAGAAGAACACUUCAAAUACUUAACGAUUCAAACAAUAGGAGUCGGGUCCCCAAACUUCACUAUUUCCCGACUCCGCCACACAGCACAAAAUACGAGGCAGGCAAACUGACAGACAAUUAUUUUUGACUCACAAAAAUCAUCAAAUACUCAAUAUAAUCCAAUAGAAAAAAUUAAACCAAGAAUUUCUAAAAUUAACGGGCCAAAGAAAAUUACCGAGACGCUCGGUCG
rnacentral:lncRNA from 1 species